rnacentral:ncRNA from 1 species
CUACACGAAGCUGGAAUCGCUAGUAAUCGCGAAUCAGAAUGUCGCGGUGAAUACGUUCCCGGGUCUUGUACACACCGCCCGUCACACCAUGGGAGUCGGAAAUGCCCGAAGCCAGUGACCCAACCGUAUGGAGGGAGCUGUCGAAGGUGGAGCCGGUAACUGGGGUGAAGUCGUAACAAGGUAGCCGUAUCGGAAGGUGCGGCUGGAUCACCUCCUUU